rnacentral:lncRNA from 1 species
GAGUUACAUGUCACUCUAGCAUGUGACGCAUCACCCUAUGGUUUAGGUGCCGUCAUAUCUCAUCGAUAUCCAAAUGGAUCAGACAGACCGAUAGCUUUCGCCUCUAGAUCGCUAGCACCAGCAGAGAAAAAAUAUUCGCAAAUAGACGAGGAAGCGUUAGGAAUAAUUUGGGGAAUUAAGAAAUUCCAUUCCUACCUGUACGGGCGAAAAUUCAAAUUGAUCACAGACCAUCAGCCAAUAUAUAUUCAACCCUCAGAAAGGAGUAUCAGUGACAUCGUCAGCUCGUUUGCAAAAAUAUUCACUUUUCCUGUCAGGAUAUGAAUAUGAGAUUGAAUUCCGA